UACGGAGGGUGCAAACGUUGCUCGGAAUCAUUGGGCGUAAAGCGCACGUAGGCGGUCUGGUAAGUCGGGUGUGAAAGCCCUCGGCUCAACCGAGGAAGUGCAUUCGAAACUGCCAGACUUGAGUAUGGAAGAGGGUCGCGGAAUUCCCAGUGUAGAGGUGAAAUUCGUAGAUAUUGGGAGGAACACCAGUGGCGAAGGCGGCCGCCUGGAUGGAGAUUGACGCUGAGGCGCGAGAGCGUGGGGAGCAAACAGG
rnacentral:rRNA from 1 species